rnacentral:rRNA from 1 species
AACGCGAAGAACCUUACCCGGGUUUGACGUGUUAGUGGUAGGGAUCCGAAAGGUGACCGACCCGCAAGGGAGCUUUCACAGGUGCUGCAUGGCUGUCGUCAGCUCGUGUCGUGAGAUGUUCGGUUAAGUCCGCUAACGAGCGCAACCCUCGCUACGUGUUACAUGUGUCACGUGGGACCGCCGGUAUCAAGCCGGAGGAAGGUGGGGAUGACGUCAAGUCAGCAUGGCCUUUAUAUCCGGGGCUACACACACGCUACAAUGGUCGGUACAAUGGGUCGCUAAGCCGCGAGGUGGAGCCAAUCCCCAAAGCCGGCCUCAGUUCAGAUCGCAGGCUGCAACUCGCCUGCGUGAAGUCGGAGUUGCUAGUAAACGCGCGUCAGCUAUAGUGCGUUGAAUACGUUCUCGGGUCUUGUACACACCGAAU